GAUGAACGCUGGCGGCGUGCCUAAUACAUGCAAGUCGAGCGAACAGAUAAGGAGCUUGCUCCUUUGACGUUAGCGGCGGACGGGUGAGUAACACGUGGGUAACCUACCUAUAAGACUGGGAUAACUUCGGGAAACCGGAGCUAAUACCGGAUAAUAUUUCGAACCGCAUGGUUCGAUAGUGAAAGAUGGUUUUGCUAUCACUUAUAGAUGGACCCGCGCCGUAUUAGCUAGUUGGUAAGGUAACGGCUUACCAAGGCGACGAUACGUAGCCGACCUGAGAGGGUGAUCGGCCACACUGGAACUGAGACACGGUCCAGACUCCUACGGAAGGCAGCAGUAGGGAAUCUUCCGCAAUGGGCGAAAGCCUGACGGGGCAACGCCGCGUGAGUGAUGAAGGUCUUCGGAUCGUAAAACUCUGUUAUUAGGGAAGAACAUACGUGUAAGUAACUGUGCACGUCUUGACGGUACCUAAUCAGAAAGCCACGGCUAACUACGUG
rnacentral:rRNA from 1 species